rnacentral:rRNA from 1 species
CCUACGGGUGGCAGCAGUGGGGAAUAUUGGACAAUGGGCGAAAGCCUGAUCCAGCCAUGCCGCGUGUGUGAAGAAGGCCUUCGGGUUGUAAAGCACUUUCAGUGGGGAAGAAAGCCUUGGGGCUAAUACCCUCGAGGAAGGACAUCACCCACAGAAGAAGCACCGGCUAACUCCGUGCCAGCAGCCGCGGUAAUACGGAGGGUGCGAGCGUUAAUCGGAAUUACUGGGCGUAAAGCGCGCGUAGGCGGUCUGAUAAGCCGGUUGUGAAAGCCCCGGGCUCAACCUGGGAACGGCAUCCGGAACUGUCAGGCUGGAGUGCAAGAGAGGAAGGUAGAAUUCCCGGUGUAGCGGUGAAAUGCGUAGAGACAGGGAGGAAUACCAGUGGCGAAGGAGGCCUUCUGGACUGACACUGACGCUGAGGUGCGAAAGCGUGGGUAGCAAACAGGAUUAGAUACCCCGGUAGUC